rnacentral:rRNA from 1 species
UACGUAGGGUGCGAGCGUUAAUCGGAAUACUGGGCGUAAAGCGUGCGCAGGCGGUGAUGUAAGACAGAUGUGAAAUCCCCGGGCUCAACCUGGGAACUGCAUUUGUGACUGCAUCGCUGGAGUGCGGCAGAGGGGGAUGGAAUUCCGCGUGUAGCAGUGAAAUGCGUAGAUAUGCGGAGGAGCACCAAUGGCGAAGGCAAUCCCCUGGGCCUGCACUGACGCUCAUGCACGAAAGCGUGGGGAGCAAACAGG